rnacentral:rRNA from 1 species
AUUGAACGCUGGCGACAUGCCUUACACAUGCAAGUCGAACGGCGGCACGGGUGCUUGCACCUGGUGGCGAGUGGCGAACGGGUGAGUAAUACAUCGGAACAUGUCCUGUAGUGGGGGAUAGCCCGGCGAAAGCCGGAUUAAUACCGCAUACGAUCUACGGAUGAAAGCGGGGGACCUUCGGGCCUCGCGCUAUAGGGUUGGCCGAUGGCUGAUUAGCUAGUUGGUGGGGUAAAGGCCUACCAAGGCGACGAUCAGUAGCUGGUCUGAGAGGACGACCAGUCACACUGGGACUGAGACACGGCCCAGACUCCUACGGGAGGCAGCAGUGGGGAAUUUUGGACAAUGGGCGAAAGCCUGAUCCAGCAAUGCCGCGUGUGUGAAGAAGGCCUUCGGGUUGUAAAGCACUUUUGUCCGGAAAGAAAUCCUUGGCCCUAAUACGGUCGGGGGAUGACGGUACCGGAAGAAUAAGCACCGGCUAACUACGUG